UUUUGAAUUCGUUUAAUUCGCAUAAUUGUCAUUGUAUUGAAUAUUCUGCAGAUAAGCCAGUUGCUUCGACGAGGUUGAGCCCAAUUUUGUUUAAUAUUGGCCAAUAAUAAUGUCUUUGGCUGAUGAACUUUUGGCUGAUCUCGAAGAUGACACGGACGAUGUAUUCGAAGAGCCGGUGCCGGAACAACUUAUUCCCACAUCCUUGUCCUCUAAAAUUACGGAAAAAGAUAUUAAAGUUGAUUCCGUUCGAGAACUUGCCAAAUUACGAGAUUCACCGCUUAUGCAAAAGGUUACAUCCCAAAUUGAUAAGUACAGCAAAGUUCUUAGAAAAUCUUCGGAUAUUAUUGGACCAGUUGAGUCAGAUCCUGAAUAUCAACUAAUUGUGGAAGCUAAUAAUUUAGCUGUCGAAAUAGAUACUGAAAUUGCCACUAUACAUCGAUUUACAACAAGUAAAUAUUCAAAAAGAUUUCCAGAACUGGAAUCUCUAGUAGUCGAACAUUUAGAAUAUUUAAUGACCGUUAAAGAAUUAGGAAAUGAUUUAGACAGAGCCAAAAAUAAUGAAAUUUUACAGCAGUUUCUUACACAAGCAACGAUUAUGGUUGUAUCUGUAACUGCUUCAACGACUCAAGGGCAACUAUUAUCAGAAGCUGAAAAAGAGGCGAUCGACGAAGCUUGCGACAUGGCUAUCGAGUUGAACAAUUUGAAGCAAAGAAUAUUUGAAUACGUCGAGAGUAGAAUGGCAUUUAUUGCACCAAACUUAUCUGCAAUUGUCGGUGCUUCUACCGCAGCAAAACUUAUGGGUGUCGCUGGAGGUUUAACGAAGCUAUCAAAAAUGCCAGCAUGUAAUAUUUUACUCUUGGGCACGAGGAAAACUACGCUCUCUGGAUUUUCCCAAGUAACUGCGCUACCUCAUACAGGAUUUAUUUAUUAUUCAAAAAUUGUACAAGAUACACCACAAGAUUUAAGAAGGAAAGCGUCUAGACUCGUUGCUGCAAAAAGCACAUUAGCAGCUCGAGUCGACGCUUGCCAUAAUAGCACAGAUGGUCAUAUAGGUCAACAGUUACGCGAAGAGAUAGAAAAAAAAUUAGAUAAAUUGCUGGAACCUCCGCCUGUUAAAUUUGUAAAACCAUUGCCAAAGCCAAUCGAUCCUGGUAGGAAGAAGCGUGGUGGUAAAAGAGUUCGAAAAAUGAAGGAACGCUAUGCCAUAACUGAAUUCAGAAAACAAGCCAACAGAAUGAAUUUUGCUGAUAUUGAAAGCGAUGCUUAUCAAGAAGAUCUGGGCUAUACUCGUGGAACAAUAGGUAAAGCAGGAACUGGAAGAAUUAGAUUGCCACAGAUCGAUGAGAAAACCAAAGUAAGAAUUUCAAAAACACUGCAGAAAAAUUUACAAAAACAGCAACACUGGGGUGGUAGUACGACAGUUAAGAAGCAAGUUUCCGGUACAGCAUCCAGUAUAGCCUUCACACCACUUCAGGGCUUGGAAAUAGUGAAUCCUCAAGCGGCAGAAAAGAAGGUUAACGAAGCUAAUGCAAAAUACUUUUCAAAUACAGCAGGUUUCUUAAAAGUUAAGAAAGCAUAACUCUUGCAGGGAAGGACUUUUUAUUUCUCAUCUCGUUUAUAUUUCGUCUUAGAUCGAUCUUAUUGGACUUAACGAAAUUAUUAAAUGGAGUAUUAUAUGAUUUACACAACACUGACCUUUGCGGAUAAAAGACUGAAGAUAAAGAAAACAUUUUUCCGCGAUUUAGUCAAUUUAACUACGAGGAUAAAGCUUUCUGUCCAACGUAUUAUAUGAUAUUAUUACCAUUCUAAAUGAAAUCAACUGAGUGAUUAGUAAUUAGUCGAUUAAAUUGUAAAUGCCAUUCAUUAAUUGAUUUGAUUUUGAGCGAUGCAAUUUAGCGAGAUAUUAGUGUAAAUAAUUUACGAUUAAGAAAAUAAUUAGUAGUAUUAGCCAGAUUGGAUAGCAAUUGGAAGCAAUUUAUGGUCCAAGUUGUUGCAUAUACUCUCGCAAAGCUUGCAAUUUUCAUUUCUUGCUCUUAUCCUAUAUAAGAUGCUUUUCCAACAGCUAUUGGAAUCUCCAUUAAUUGAAUUUAAUUGUCUCAAGAAGUUUCGACAACGAUCAUUUUGUCUGAUUUCU